UACGAAGGGGGCUAGCGUUGUUCGGAAUUAUUGGGCGUAAAGCGCGUGUAGGCGGCUUUGUAAGUCGGGUGUGAAAGCCCUCAGCUCAACUGAGGAAGUGCGCCCGAAACUGCAGAGCUUGAGUACCGAAGAGGAUGGCGGAAUUCCGCAAGUAGAGGUGAAAUUCGUAGAUAUGGGGAGGAACACCGGUGGCGAAGGCGGCCAUCUGGACGGAUACUGACGCUGAGGCGCGAAAGCGUGGGUAGCAAACAGG
rnacentral:rRNA from 1 species